rnacentral:rRNA from 1 species
GGCGGCAUGCCUUACACAUGCAAGUCGAACGGCAGCGCGGGAGCAAUCCUGGCGGCGAGUGGCGAACGGGUGAGUAAUACAUCGGAACGUGCCCAAUCGUGGGGGAUAACGCAGCGAAAGCUGUGCUAAUACCGCAUACGAUCUACGGAUGAAAGCAGGGGACCCGCAAGGGCCUUGCGCGAAUGGAGCGGCCGAUGGCAGAUUAGGUAGUUGGUGGGGUAAAGGCUCACCAAGCCGACGAUCUGUAGCUGGUCUGAGAGGACGACCAGCCACACUGGGACUGAGACACGGCCCAGACUCCUACGGGAGGCAGCAGUGGGGAAUUUUGGACAAUGGGCGCAAGCCUGAUCCANCCAUGCCGCGUGCAGGAUGAAGGCCUUCGGGUUGUAAACUGCUUUUGUACGGAACGAAAAGUCUCCUUUUAAUAAAGGGGGAUCAUGACGGUACCGUAAGAAUAAGCACCGGCUAACUACGUGCCAGCAGCCGCGGUAAUACGUAGGGUGCGAGCGUUAAUCGGAAUUACUGGGCGUAAAGCGUGCGCAGGCGGUUAUGU